rnacentral:rRNA from 1 species
AUGAAUGAGCCAGAAUUGCAAGGUCCUGAUUACGCAGUAACAACUGAUAUAGAUGGCCCAAGUGGAAGUGACGAGUCAGAGUUUGAAACGGAGCAACAAGAAUAUGAAGCAGCACAUAUGAAAAACUCUAAUCUUGAUAGUAGUGAUGAGUUGCCAGAUUUAGACCAAGAAGAUGAAAGCAUGCAUGAAUCAGGUGACCAGGACAUUGAGCACCAACAGGAUGAGACCCAGAAUAAAUCAAACAAAGAUAAGAAAAAAUUAUCUCAAGAAGAUAUUGAAUUUUUCCUCGAGAACGAGGUUAUAGAGAAAGCAUUGAAACUCAGCCAAGAAGAUGAAAAAAGUCACAUGCCAACGAUAAGCAUGACAUUUGAAAGUGAAGCUGAUGCACAUAGAUUCUACAAUGAAUACACAACUAUUGCAGGGUUUUCUAUACAGAAAGCUGCAAACUACCACUGCCAAAAGAAAGAUGCUCACAGUAACAAAGUAACGAGAAUUACUUUGAAGUGCAACAGGUCUGGUAAACCUAGAAACAGGACAAAGCCGACAGGAGCAGGAGCAAAAAGGAGAAAGCACAAAGGUGAUAAAAAUGCACCCACCAUCCUUGAGAAUACGACGGAUAGGAGAAGGAAUUAUACAAUCAAAACAGGGUGUCAGGCUCAAAUGGUUGUUACCUGGAAAUUCGAGCUUGAGCAAUGGGUGAUCACAAGGCUGAUCAUUCAGCACAAUCAUGAACUGGAUCCGCCAGGCGAAGUCAGGUUCCUGAAAUCACACAAGUAUAUAACUAAACAAGAAAAGGACUUGAUCAGGACAUGCAAAAGAGUGAAUAUACCAACUAGGAAGAUAACGGCAAUCAUGUCAUUCUUCCGGGGAAGGGGUCUGUCUUCACUGCCUUACACCCCAAAAUAG